CUUUGCGAUUGGGCGGCCGGUUACCUGCCCGCCGAGACUCCCCACCCUCAUUGGCUCAGCGCGGAGCCGAGGCCGAGUUAGACCAGAAAAAUUCAAAGAAAGAAGACUUUGUAUCCUGUGGAAAAUGAGGCGGUGCUGUAGAGCGGGGGAGAUCAUUCCAGGAUGUGGCUGGAAGGUCCCAUCUCCUCCACUGGAAGUCUGCUCCUCGUAGAAAAAUCUCAUCUCUUGGAGGACAGAACAGCCAAGCUGUUUUAUUUGGGAGAAUUUUGUCCUCAGGUUCUCUUCUAAACUCAGCCACAGCUGUCCGCUGAACUGAUAAAUCCUUCAGAAGCUAUCAUGGCUGAUACCCCAAAUAGAAGUGCAGCUGUAAGGAGAUUCAAGGCCACAGAUUUACUGGUACGUUUCAGUGGCUACAAAUGUGCUUAACUGCCUGUAAAC
ensembl:lncRNA